CGGGAUUCGUGCACAGCGUACAGCAUACCAAUUGUGAAACGCGUACGAGUAAGCACCUAAGCGGACGGCGACAUUGACGAACCAAUCCGGAUCCGCUCUCUAUUUGAUUGAUGGAGAUGGUGGGAAAACGCUAACUGGUCUCGUCCACUUCAGUGGCGCCGAAUCACGGCAUACAGACGGUUACAAUGGCCAUCCAGAAGGUGUCUUAACAUGUCUGGCCACGCAGGCGAAGUGCGGUUGGGCUCGUCCACCAGUC
rnacentral:misc_RNA from 1 species